UAAAAAUGAAAAGUAUAAAAAGAGAUAUAUACGUGUAUAUAGAAGAUUUUGAAUAUCAGACAGCAGUCCUAAAGAAGGGGAGAAAAUUUCCAUUUGAAGAAACAGGACUGGUGUCUGAGAAGCCUCAAAUCUCUGCUAAUCUGAGGUUGCUUAUUGUCUAUGUUUACAAACUGAAUCUUCGAAUCUCAUCGUGAUUAAAGCAGCUAUAAAGUAAUUUAACAAUAAACGGAAAAUUCUGCAGUUAAUUUAGAACGAUAAAACAGAGAUCAUAAAGAAUAGAUACAAAUGAUAAUAUUAACUCCAACAGUGCUCAGUUACGUUUGUAUUUGGUUAUAACAGUUUAAAACAGAAAGACUAUUCUAGUACUUUCUAACUCUGGUAUCAUGUCACAUACAGAAUCACCGUCUGCCGUGUCAUCCGUCUGCCAAGAAUGCAGUCAGUCGAAUGCACCCGAGCUAUUUCAGAUCAUGCAUUUGGCCUGCGUACUAUUUGAGUGUCAGACCACUGGGAUAGCUAGCUUUUACGCUUCUGUAUUCUGCUGUUGGACCCUCGCCAGAAUGAGAAGAAACCCACAGAUCCCUAUAAUCACAGCAAAUGACAGAUCUCAUCUUCGGCAGCCAGAGAACAAAGAGAUAUAUUCAUAGGGAAAUUUCUACUUUCAAGCUUAAGAAAACGUUUUCGCCGCUGAGAAAAUAAGAAAGUUGGCAGCACGGUCUCUAAAGCUGGAAUAUUCCAGAAAUAAUACAAGUUCAAAGGAUAUGUGAUAAAAAAGUAUUGCAGUACUUUGUUAGGAAAAAGCCGUGUUUAUUUUUAGUCUACAGAGAAUAAUGAAAUAAAUCUGAAAAAUUCA